CUAGAGUAUAGGAAAUAACCUACAAAUACUACAUAUGCCACAGACCUUAGACCAUAUCUCUCUUGAUUUACAGCCUUUCAGUACACACCAUCUGCCUGAUUUUGACUAACAAGGGGAGGGAGAAAGGAAGAAGAGUGGACUUGGGGGUUGAAGGAUAAAAUAUUAUAAUUGUUUACAUAUUUUUUAUUUUGAAAACAAAGGCAGUUAGGUUAAUAAAAUUUUCACACUAAUGUUGUUUGUUAACCAUUAAUUAAUCUUGAUGAUAUGCAUGCACUGUACCUCUCAAAAUCACAGUGACAUCUUUCACAGUGCUGCUUUCCAGCAUCUGGUACCAUUGUAAUAAGACACUAUAUGAAACUCCUUUAUUACUAUGGCUAAUGAUAUAAAAAUCUAACAGAUGUCUGAAUGACAAACAUGUAAUCGAAUAAAUCAUACUAUGCUGUGCACUGAUAUGUCUACUGGGAACUGGAAAAAGCAGCAUUUCCUUUGGUCUGGGUUUAUUUUUCCACUGUGGUUCCAGCUGGAAACCAUUGAGGAGGAGCAGCAUGUUGCUUGUAUCCUGAAAAAUCCUACUGAGUCUGCCUUUCUUUGGACUCUGUUUCAGCAUUUUUUAGGAUGGUUUACUGACUUCACUGACUCAUGCUGCCCUCUACAAGGGGUACAGGCAUCUCAGAUCCCUCCACCUGCAGCCUGGUCCUCUGCCCACCACUAUGGGAACCAUGAAGAAAAAAGGUUGAACUUGAGAGCUGGAGAACAGAACUAUCACUGGCCCUCCACACUGGAGUUACAGAAGGAUGAAAGCUGCUGGGAGCAGGACAAGAAAGCAGGACCAUUAAACAUAUGGAAAAAGAGUUACACAUCAACUGGAAAGCUGUUGACUGGGAAUAUUUGAACAUCUGUACUGUUAUCUCCAGUGUCUGUGCAGAAAACAACAUUUCUUCUAACAGCUUCAAUUGCAAAGCUGUGCUUCUUUAUUCCCCUACUAAGUUUUAACCAGGACAGUACUAUGACAGCAUCAAAACCACAGACAAUCCUUUCCUUGUUCCAUUCACAAAGCUAGCCAUUUCCAUCUGGUAUUACCAUUAAUAACCAGAUAAAUCAAAAUAGAACUAUAAGUUUAUAUAUUGGCAGUAAACUUCUACUAACACUAUAUAGUUUAGAACAUGGCUAAAGGAUCAUUGUGACAUAUGUUCCAUUUAUAUCAAUAAAUGCCUAUUUGUUUAUUAAUAGUGAAACUUU
rnacentral:lncRNA from 1 species